rnacentral:rRNA from 1 species
ACUACGGGAGGCAGCAGUGAGGAAUAUUGGUCAAUGGACGCGAGUCUGAACCAGCCAAGUAGCGUGAAGGAUGACUGCCCUAUGGGUUGUAAACUUCUUUUAUAAGGGAAUAAAACGAAGCACGUGUGGGAGUUUGUAGGUACCAUAUGAAUAAGGAUCGGCUAACUCCGUGCCAGCAGCCGCGGUAAUACGGAGGAUCCGAGCGUUAUCCGGAUUGAUUGGGGUUAAAGGGAGCGUAGUUGGCUUGUUAAGUCAGUUUUGAAAGUUUGCGGCUCCACCGUAAACUUGCAGUUGAUACUGGCAGUCUUUACUACAGUAGUGGUAGGCGGAAUUCG